rnacentral:rRNA from 1 species
UACAGAGGGUGCGGGCGUUAAUCGGAAUUACUGGGCGUAAAGCGUGCGUAGACGGUUAUUUAAGUCGGAUGUGAAAGCCCCGGGCUCAACCUGGGAAUUGCAUUCGAGACUGAAUAGCUAGGGUACGGUAGAGGGAAGUGGAAUUUCCGGUGUAGCGGUGAAAUGCGUAGAUAUCGGAAGGAACAUCAGUGGCGAAAGCGACUGCCUGGACCAGUACCGACGUUCAGGCACGAAAGCGUGGGGAGCAAACAGG